UACGUAGGGUGCGAGCGUUGUCCGGAAUUAUUGGGUCGUAAAGAGCUUGUAGGCGGUUUGUCGCGUCUGCCGUGAAAAUUCGAGGCUCAACCUCGAACUUGCGGUGGGUGACGGGCAGACUAGAGUGUGGUAGGGGAGACUGGAAUUCCUGGUGUAGCGGUGAAAUGCGCAGAUAUCAGGAGGAACACCGAUGGCGAAGGCAGGUCUCUGGGCCACUACUGACGCUGAGAAGCGAAAGCAUGGGGAGCGAACAGG
rnacentral:rRNA from 1 species